rnacentral:rRNA from 1 species
GCUUACGGCCAUACCAGCCCAAGAACGCCCGGUCUCGUCUGAUCUCGGAAGCUAAGAAGGCUUGGGCCUGUUUAGUACCUGGAUGGGAGACCUCCUGGGAAUACCAGGUGCUGUAAGCU